GUGUGCAUGGCUUUUUAUGCCCCCCUUCGAAGAAGCGGGGGUAUAUUGCUUUGCUCAUGUCGGUAAUUCGGUCGGUCUGUCGGUCGGUCCGUCCACCAGGUGGUUGUCAGACGAUAACUCAAGAAGGACUGGGCAUGAAACUUCAUAGGUACAUUGAUCUUGACUUGCAGAUGACCCCUAUUGAUUUUGAGGUCACUAGGUCAAAGGUCAAGGUCAUGGUGACCCGAAAUAGUAAAAUGGUUUUUGAAUGAUAACUCAAGAACGCAUACGCCUAGGAUCAUGACACUUCAUGGGUAGAUUGAUCAUGACUUGCAGAUGACCCCUAUUGAUUUUGAGGUCACUAGGUCAAAGGUAAGGUCACGGUGACCUGAAAUAGUAAAAUGGUUUCCGGAUGAUAACUCAAGAAUGCAUACGCCUAGGAUCAUGAAACUUCAUGGGUAGAUUGAUCAUAACUCGCAGAUGACCCCUAUUGAUUUUAAGGUCACUAGGUCAAAGGUCAAGGUCACGGUGACCAGAAAUAGUAAAAUGGUUUUUGGAUGAUAACUCAAGAACGCAUACGCCUAGGAUCAUAAAACUUCAUAGGUACAUUGAUCAUGACUGGCAGAUGACCCCUAUUGAUUUUCAGGUCACUAGGUCAAAGGUCAAGGUCACAGUGAC